rnacentral:rRNA from 1 species
UACGUAGGGUGCGAGCGUUAAUCGGAAUUACUGGGCGUAAAGCGUGCGCAGGCGGUCUGUUAAGACCGAUGUGAAAUCCCCGGGCUUAACCUGGGAACUGCAUUGGUGACUGGCAGGCUUUGAGUGUGGCAGAGGGAGGUAGGAAUUCCACGUGUAGCAGUGAAAUGCGUAGAGAUGCGGAGGAACACCGAUGGCGAAGGCAGCCCCCCUGGGCUAACACUGACGCUCAGGCACGAAAGCGUGGGGAGCAAACAGG